rnacentral:rRNA from 1 species
AUAGGGGGACCACCCUCUAAGCCUAAAUACUCUUCAGUGACCGAUAGUGAACUAGUACCGUGAGGGAAAGGUGAAAAGAACCCCUAUUAGGGGAGUGAAAUAGAACCUGAAACCGUAUGCCUACAAACAGUCGAAGCUCUUUUUAGAGUGAGGGCGUACCUUUUGUAUAAUGGGUCAGUGACUUAAUUUAUUAAGCAAGCUUAAGCCAUCUAGGUGUAGGCGCAGCGAAAGCAAGUCUUAAUAGGGCGAUUAGUUUAAUGAAUUAGACCCGAAAACGAAUGAGCUUACCAUGAGCAGGUUGAAAGUUGGGUAACACCAACCGGAGGACCGAACCAGUUGACGUUGAAAAGUCUUUGGAUGACUUGUGGUAAGGGGUGAAAGGCCAACCAAAUUCGUAGAUAGCUGGUUUUCCGCGAAAACUAUUUAGGUAGUGCGUCGAAUAAAUAGAUGUUUAGAGGUAGAGCACUAAAUGGGCUAGGGGGAAGAGAUUCUUACCAAACCUAAUAAAACUCCGAAUGCUAGACAUUGUUCUUCGGCAGACAGACUGUGGGUGCUAAGGUCCAUGGUCGAGAGGGAAAGAGCCCAGACCACCAGAUAAGGUCCCAAAAUCAUGAUUAAGUGUGAAAGGAUGUGGAAAUUCCUUAACAGCCGGGAGGUUGGCUUAGAAGCAGCCAUCCUUUAAAGAUAGCGUAACAGCUCACCGGUCUAAUAGAGUUUCUGCGCCGAAGAUGUAACGGGGCUAAAAUCAUAUACCGAAUCUGUGGGUUUAUAAAACUUUCGAGUUUUAUAAGCGGUAGCGGAACGUUCUGUAAGCCUGUGAAGGGAUACCCGUGAGGGAUCCUGGAGGUAUCAGAAGUGCGAAUGCUGACAUAAGUAACGAUAAACGAAGUGAAAAACUUCGUCGCCGAAAAUCUAAGGGUUUCUAUGCAAGGUUAAUCCGCGUAGAGUUAGUCGGCACCUAAGGCGAGGGCGAAAGCCGUAGUCGAUGGAAACAAGGUUAAUAUUCCUUGACCUGAUGGUAGUGACGGAUUUCGUAAGUUGUGAGUUCUUAAUGGAUUGAACUUGCCGCGAAGAGGUCCCAAGAAAUAGCUCCAUCAUGAAGACCGUACCCGAAACCGACACAGGUAGAUUAAUAGAGUAUAUUUAGGCGCUUGAGAGAAUGAUGUUGAAGGAACUCGGCAAAAUGCUUCCGUAACUUCGGGAUAAGGAAGACCCUUUUGUAGGCAACUAUAGAAGGGUGGCACAAGCCAGGGAGAAGCGACUGUUUAUCAAAAACACAGGGCUCUGCUAACACGUAAGUGGAUGUAUAGGGUCUGACGCCUGCCCGGUGCUGGAAGGUUAAUGCGGUUGGUGCAAGCUAACUUCUGAAGCCCCAGUAAACGGCGGCCGUAACUAUAACGGUCCUAAGGUAGCGAAAUUCCUUGUCGGGUAAGUUCCGACCUGCAUGAAUGGCGUAACGAUUUCUCCGCUGUCUCCAACAUCAACUCAGUGAAAUUGAAUUCUCCGUGAAGAUGCGGAGUUCGCGUAGUUAGACGGAAAGACCCCGUGCACCUUUACUGCAACUUUACAUUGGUGUUAGGAAAAACAUAUUUAGCAUAGGAGGGAGACUUUGAAGCAAAGGCGUCAGCUUUUGUGGAGUCACCAGUGAAAUACCUCUUUUGUUUUUCUUGACAUCUAACCGCUAGCCGUCAUCCGGCAGCGAGACAUUGUAUGGUGGGUAGUUUGACUGGGGCGGUCGCCUCCCAAAUAGUAACGGAGGCGUGCGAAGGUAGGCUCAGAACGGUCAGAAAUCGUUCGUAGAGUGCAAUGGCAUAAGCCUGCCUGACUGUGAGACUGACAAGUCGAGCAGAGACGAAAGUCGGUCAUAGUGAUCCGGUGGUUCUGAGUGGAAGGGCCAUCGCUCAACGGAUAAAAGGUACGCCGGGGAUAACAGGCUGA